UUUAAAAAUUUCUUGAAACACCCAAUCUCGUCAGAUCUCGGAAGCAAAGCAGGGUCGGGCCUGGUUAGUACUUGGAUGGGAGACCACCUGGGAAUACCGGGUGCCAUAGGC
rnacentral:rRNA from 1 species